ACUUAAAUAAUAUAAACAUUAUAUUUAACUUCCAAUUAAAAAACCUAGAAACUCUAGUUUAAGUA
rnacentral:tRNA from 1 species